rnacentral:rRNA from 1 species
UACGUAGGGUGCAAGCGUUGUCCGGAUUGACUGGGCGUAAAGCGCACGCAGGCGGUCGCGCGCGCGGGGUGUGAAAUCUGGCCGCUUAACGGCCAGGCGCCAUCCCAUACGGCGCGACUGGAGUGAUGCAGAGGUCGAUGGAAUUGCCGGUGUAGUGGUGAAAUGCGCAGGAUAUCAGGAGGAACACCAGUGGCGAAGGCGGCACUCUGGGCCGGUACUGACGCUGAGGAGCGAAAGCGGUGGGGAGCCGAACGAGG